rnacentral:rRNA from 1 species
AGGAUUAACGCUGGCGGCGUGCAUGAAACAUGCAAGUCGAGCGCGGUGUGAUGCGGGGUAACCCAAUUCACAUCUAGCGGCGAACGGGUGAGUAACACGUGAGCAACCUACCUUUGAGUUGGGGAUAGCCCUGGGAAACCAGGAUUAAUACCCGAUGUGGUCACAACAGGACAUCCUGAUGUGAGUAAAGGCGCAAGCCGCUCAAUGACGGGCUCGCGGCCUAUUAGCUUGUUGGUGGGGUAACGGCCUACCAAGGCGAUGAUGGGUAGCUGGUCUGAGAGGACGAUCAGCCACACUGGGACUGAGACACGGCCCAGACUCCUACGGGAGGCAGCAGUUAGGAAUUUUCCGCAAUGGGCGAAAGCCUGACGGAGCAACGCCGCGUGAGUGAUGAAGACCUUAGGGUGUAAAGCUCUGUCGGAGGGGAAGAACACAAUGACGGUACCCUCCAAGAACGCCCCGGACUAACUACGCGCCAGCAGCCGCGGUAAU